rnacentral:rRNA from 1 species
CCUACGGGGGGCAGCAGUGAGGAAUAUUGGUCAAUGGACGAGAGUCUGAACCAGCCAAGUAGCGUGAAGGAUGACUGCCCUAUGGGUUGUAAACUUCUUUAAUAUGGGAAUAAAAUGUUCCACGUGUGGGAUUUUGUAUGUACCAUAUGAAUAAGGAUCGGCUAACCCCGUGCCAGCAGCCGCGGUAAUACGGAGGAUCCGAGCGUUAUCCGGAUUUAUUGGGUUUAAAGGGAGCGUAGGUGGAUUGUUAAGUCAGUUGUGAAAGUUUGCGGCUCAACCGUAAAAUUGCAGUUGAAACUGGCAGUCUUGAGUACAGUAGAGGUGGGCGGAAUGCGUGGUGUAGCGGUGAAAUGCUUAGAUAUCACGAAGAACUCCGAUUGCGAAGGCAGUUCACUGGACUGCAACUGACACUGAGGCUCGAAAGUGUGGGUAUCAAACAGGAUUAGAUACCCGAGUAGUC